rnacentral:misc_RNA from 1 species
UUCUCUUCUCUUUUCUCCUCUUUCUCCCUAUCCAAAACCGGGUGCAGAGUGUAUUCGCUUGCUGAUCGUCCACUGAGAUGCGAUUUUUAGUGAUUCGCGGAUCAAGUGAUGACUACGAACAAGAACACAAACACAGAAUUGUCUCAGGGAGAAAGAGGAGAAAAGAGAAGAGAANNNNNNCGCCGCAGGGACAGUCUGAAAAUGUUGGUUCCCGGGCUGGGAAUACGGUUUUCAAGAGUGGGCC